rnacentral:rRNA from 1 species
UACGGGGGGAGCAAGCGUUGUUCGGAUUUCCUGGGCGUAAAGGGCGCGUAGGCGGCGCAACAAGUCACUUGUGAAAUCUCCGGGCUUAACCCGGAGCGGCCAAGUGAUACUGUCGUGCUAGAGUGCGGAAGGGGCUACUGGAAUUCUCGGUGUAGCGGUGAAAUGCGUAGAUAUCGAGAGGAACACCUGCGGCGAAGGCGGGUAGCUGGGCCGACACUGACGCUGAGGCGCGAAGGCCAGGGGAGCAAACGGG